UACGAAGUGCAGUCUGCCCCCGGGCAGGCCUAACCUCCCACCCGUGAAUACCUGACCAACGUUGCUUCGGCGGUGCGCCCCCCCCGGGGGUAGCCGCCGGAGACCACACCGAACCUCCUGUCUUUAGUGUUGUCUGAGCUUGAUAGCAAACCUAUUAAAACUUUCAACAAUGGAUCUCUUGGUUCCGGCAUCGAUGAAGAACGCAGCGAACUGCAAUAAGUAAUGUGAAUUGCAGAAUUCAGUGAAUCAUCGAGUCUUUGAACGCACAUUGCGCCCCCUGGCAUUCCGGGGGGCAUGCCUGUCCGAGCGUCAUUGCUGCCCUUCAAGCCCGGCUUGUGUGUUGGGUCGUCGUCCCCCCCGGGGGACGGGCCCGAAAGGCAGCGGCGGCACCGCGUCCGGUCCUCGAGCGUAUGGGGCUUUGUCACCCGCUCGAUUAGGGCCGGCCGGGCGCCAGCCGGCGUCUCCAACCUUCUAUUUUACCAGGUUGACCUCGGAUCAGGUAGGGAUACCCGCUGAACUUAAGCAUAUCAAUAAGCAAGAGAAAAUA
rnacentral:rRNA from 1 species